GUAACUUAUGUAACCACCAAUUAAAGACACAAGAUCUAGAUCCAACGUCUAAGGUUUUUUUCACUUAAAUCCUCCAAUCUGAAUACACACGGAUUAGAUUUAAACCCAUAGGUGGAGGGGUUGAAGUGAAAAAAUCUCAGACGUUAAAUCUAGAUCCUGUGGUCUUAAUUGGUGGUUGCAUAGGUUGC
rnacentral:pre_miRNA from 1 species